UACACUCCUGCGGGAGGCAGCAGUGGGGAAUAUUGCACAAUGGGCGCAAGCCUGAUGCAGCGACGCCGCGUGGGGGAUGAAGGCCUUCGGGUUGUAAACUCCUUUCGCUAGGGACGAAGCUUUUUUGUGACGGUACCUAGAUAAGAAGCACCGGCUAACUACGUGCCAGCAGCCGCGGUAAUACGUAGGGUGCGAGCGUUGUCCGGAAUUACUGGGCGUAAAGGGCUCGUAGGUGGUUUGUCGCGUCGUCUGUGAAAUUCUGGGGCUUAACUCCGGGCGUGCAGGCGAUACGGGCAUAACUUGAGUGCUGUAGGGGUAACUGGAAUUCCUGGUGUAGCGGUGAAAUGCGCAGAUAUCAGGAGGAACACCGAUGGCGAAGGCAGGUUACUGGGCAGUUACUGACGCUGAGGAGCGAAAGCAUGGGUAGCGAACAGGAUUAGAUACCCCUGUAGUCCCAUGAU
rnacentral:rRNA from 1 species